UCUGGAGGACUAAGAGGGCUGAGUCUGAUGAAGUAAGACUCUGCUGAUACAGUCCUCCUAAAAAAAAAAGGGGGGGGUUUGGAGAGAGCAGCCCUUAUUGGAGAAUAUCACAGGGCUGACUGCACUACCCAACAUUC